rnacentral:rRNA from 1 species
UAAGCGACUAAGCGUACACGGUGGAUGCCCUGGCAGUCAGAGGCGAUGAAGGACGUGCUAAUCUGCGAAAAGCGUCGGUAAGGUGAUAUGAACCGUUAUAACCGGCGAUGUCCGAAUGGGGAAACCCAGUGCAAUUCGUUGCACUAUCGUUUGAUGAAUACAUAGUCAAACGAGGCGAACCGGGGGAACUGAAACAUCUAAGUACCCCGAGGAAAAGAAAUCAACCGAGAUUCCCCCAGUAGCGGCGAGCGAACGGGGAGCAGCCCGGAGUCUGAAUCAGCUUGUGUGUUAGUGGAAGCGUCUGGAAAGUCGCAGGGUACAGGGUGAUACUCCCGUACACUAAAACACACAGGUUGUGAACUCGAAGAGUAGGGCGGGACACGUGGUAUCCUGUCUGAAUAUGGGGGGACCAUCCUCCAAGGCUAAAUACUCCUGACUGACCGAUAGUGAACCAGUACCGUGAGGGAAAGGCGAAAAGAACCCCGGCGAGGGGAGUGAAAAAGAACCUGAAACCGUGUACGUACAAGCAGUAGGAGCCCACUAGUUGGGUGACUGCGUACCUUUUGUAUAAUGGGUCAGCGACUUAUAUUCUGUAGCAAGGUUAACCGUAUAGGGGAGCCGCAGGGAAACCGAGUCUUAACUGGGCGUUAAGUUGCAGGGUAUAGACCCGAAACCCGGUGAUCUAGCCAUGGGCAGGUUGAAGGUUGGGUAACACUAACUGGAGGACCGAACCGACUAAUGUUGAAAAAUUAGCGGAUGACUUGUGGCUGGGGGUGAAAGGCCAAUCAAACCGGGAGAUAGCUGGUUCUCCCCGAAAGCUAUUUAGGUAGCGCCUCGUGAACUCAUCUUCGGGGGUAGAGCACUGUUUCGGCUAGGGGGUCAUCCCGACUUACCAACCCGAUGCAAACUACGAAUACCGAAGAAUGUUAUCACGGGAGACACACGGCGGGUGCUAACGUCCGUCGUGAAGAGGGAAACAACCCAGACCGCCAGCUAAGGUCCCAAAGUCAUGGUUAAGUGGGAAACGAUGUGGGAAGGCCCAGACAGCCAGGAUGUUGGCUUAGAAGCAGCCAUCAUUUAAAGAAAGCGUAAUAGCUCACUGGUCGAGUCGGCCUGCGCGGAAGAUGUAACGGGGCUAAACCAUGCACCGAAGCUGCGGCAGCGACGCUUAUGCGUUGUUGGGUAGGGGAGCGUUCUGUAAGCCGUUGAAGGUGGCCUGUGAGGGUUGCUGGAGGUAUCAGAAGUGCGAAUGCUGACAUAAGUAACGAUAAUGCGGGUGAAAAACCCGCACGCCGGAAGACCAAGGGUUCCUGUCCAACGUUAAUCGGGGCAGGGUGAGUCGACCCCUAAGGCGAGGCCGAAAGGCGUAGUCGAUGGGAAACAGGUUAAUAUUCCUGUACUUGGUGUUACUGCGAAGGGGGGACGGAGAAGGCUAUGUUGGCCGGGCGACGGUUGUCCCGGUUUAAGCAUGUAGGCGGAUGUUCCAGGUAAAUCCGGAACGUCACUAACGCUGAGGUGUGAUGACGAGGCACUACGGUGCUGAAGUGACAAAUGCCCUGCUUCCAGGAAAAGCCUCUAAGCAUCAGGUAACAUCAAAUCGUACCCCAAACCGACACAGGUGGUCAGGUAGAGAAUACCAAGGCGCUUGAGAGAACUCGGGUGAAGGAACUAGGCAAAAUGGUGCCGUAACUUCGGGAGAAGGCACGCUGAUGGUAGGUGAAGUGACUUGCUCAUGGAGCUGAAAUCAGUCGAAGAUACCAGCUGGCUGCAACUGUUUAUUAAAAACACAGCACUGUGCAAACACGAAAGUGGACGUAUACGGUGUGACGCCUGCCCGGUGCCGGAAGGUUAAUUGAUGGGGUUAUCCUCACGGAGAAGCUCUUGAUCGAAGCCCCGGUAAACGGCGGCCGUAACUAUAACGGUCCUAAGGUAGCGAAAUUCCUUGUCGGGUAAGUUCCGACCUGCACGAAUGGCGUAAUGAUGGCCAGGCUGUCUCCACCCGAGACUCAGUGAAAUUGAACUCGCUGUGAAGAUGCAGUGUACCCGCGGCAAGACGGAAAGACCCCGUGAACCUUUACUAUAGCUUGACACUGAACACUGGUCCUUGAUGUGUAGGAUAGGUGGGAGGCUUUGAAGUGUGGACGCCAGUCUGCAUGGAGCCGUCCUUGAAAUACCACCCUUUAAUGGCUGGUGUUCUAACGUGGGCCCCUAAUCGGGGUUGCGGACAGUGUCUGGUGGGUAGUUUGACUGGGGCGGUCUCCUCCUAAAGAGUAACGGAGGAGCACGAAGGUCAGCUAAUCCUGGUCGGACAUCAGGAGGUUAGUGCAAUGGCAUAAGCUGGCUUGACUGCGAGCGUGACGGCGCGAGCAGGUGCGAAAGCAGGUCAUAGUGAUCCGGUGGUUCUGAAUGGAAGGGCCAUCGCUCAACGGAUAAAAGGUACUCCGGGGAUAACAGGCUGAUACCGCCCAAGAGUUCAUAUCGACGGCGGUGUUUGGCACCUCGAUGUCGGCUCAUCACAUCCUGGGGCUGAAGUAGGUCCCAAGGGUAUGGCUGUUCGCCAUUUAAAGUGGUACGCGAGCUGGGUUUAGAACGUCGUGAGACAGUUCGGUCCCUAUCUGCCGUGGGCGCUGGAGAAUUGAGGGGGGCUGCUCCUAGUACGAGAGGACCGGAGUGGACGCAUCACUGGUGUUCGGGUUGUCAUGCCAAUGGCAUUGCCCGGUAGCUAAAUGCGGAAGAGAUAAGUGCUGAAAGCAUCUAAGCACGAAACUUGCCCCGAGAUGAGUUCUCCCUGACUCCUUGAGAGUCCUGAAGGAACGUUGAAGACGACGACGUUGAUAGGCCGGGUGUGUAAGCGCAGCGAUGCGUUGAGCUAACCGGUACUAAUGAACCGUGAGGCUUAACCU